rnacentral:rRNA from 1 species
UACGUAGGGUGCGAGCGUUAAUCGGAAUUACUGGGCGUAAAGCGUGCGCAGGCGGUUGUGCAAGACAGGUGUGAAAUCCCCGGGCUUAACCUGGGAACUGCACUUGUGACUGCACAGCUGGAGUGCGGCAGAGGGGGAUGGAAUUCCGGCGUGUAGCAGUGAAAUGCGUAGAUAUGCGGAGGAACCCCAGAGGCGAAGGCGGCGCUCUGGCUCGCGACUGACGCUCAGACACGACAGCAUGGGGAGCGAACGGG